AGUGAACGCUGGCGGUAGGCCUAACACAUGCAAGUCGAACGGCAGCACAGUAAGAGCUUGCUCUUACGGGUGGCGAGUGGCGGACGGGUGAGGAAUACAUCGGAAUCUACUUUUUCGUGGGGGAUAACGUAAGAAAACUUACGCUAAUACCGCAUACGACCUACGGGUGAAAGCAGGGGAUCUUCGGACCUUGCGCGAUAGAAUGAGCCGAUGUCGGAUUAGCUAGUUGGCGGGGUAAAGGCCCACCAAGGCGACGAUACGUAGCUGGUCUGAGAGGAUGAUCAGCCACACUGGAACUGAGACACGGUCCAGACUCCUACGGGAGGCAGCAGUGGGGAAUAUUCGACAAAGGGCGCAAGCCUGAUCCAGCCAUACCGCGUGGGUGAAGAAGGCCUUCGGGUUGUAAAGCUCUUUUGUUGGGAAAGAACAGCAGCAUGUUUAUCCACGGCUGUUCUGACGGUACCCAAACAAUAAGCACCGGCUAACUUCGUG
rnacentral:rRNA from 1 species